CGGGAGGCAGCAGUAGGGAAUCUUGCGCAAUGGGCGAAAGCCUGACGCAGCAACGCCGCGUGGGGGAUGAAGGCUCUCGGGUUGUAAACCCCUUUCAGUGGGGACGAAUCAAGACGGUACCCACAGAAGAAGCUCCGGCUAACUACGUGCCAGCAGCCGCGGUAACACGUAGGGGGCAAGCGUUGUCCGGAUUUAUUGGGCGUAAAGAGCUCGUAGGUGGCUCGGUAAGUCGGGUGUUAAACCCCCAGGCUCAACCUGGGGACGCCACUCGAUACUGCUGUGGCUAGAGUCCGGUAGGGGAGCGUGGAAUUCCUGGUGUAGCGGUGAAAUGCGCAGAUAUCAGGAGGAACACCAGCGGCGAAGGCGGCGCUCUGGGCCGGUACUGACACUGAGGAGCGAAAGCGUGGGUAGCAAACAGGAUUAGAUACCCUGGUAGUCCACGCCGUAAACGUUGGGCACUAGGUGUGGAGUCUCUUCAACGGAUUCCGUGCCGUAGCUAACGCAUUAAGUGCCCCGCCUGGGGAGUACGGCCGCAAGGCUAAAACUCAAAGGAAUUGACGGAAUCGA
rnacentral:rRNA from 1 species